rnacentral:misc_RNA from 1 species
GUGAAUCAUCAAAUUUUUGAACGCAAAUUGCACUCUCUGGUAUUCCGGAGAGUAUGCCUGUUUGAGGGUCAGUUAAAUAAAAAUCGGUGUGGUUGCUGCCUUUCGUGGUGACGCACCGGAUUUGGGUCGUCUUGCCUUGGUUUAAGGACCCUAAAAUUUGCCUUGAUUUUUUCGAACGUUUUUAAUUGACUUUCCGUAGUUUUGCGUU